rnacentral:rRNA from 1 species
UACGGAGGGUGCAAGCGUUGUCCGGAUUUAUUGGGUUUAAAGGGUGCGUAGGCGGUUCUUUAAGUCCGGGGUGAAAGCCCACUGCUCAACAGUGGAACUGCCCUGGAAACUGGAGAACUUGAGUACAGACGAGGGCGGCGGAAUGGAUGGUGUAGCGGUGAAAUGCAUAGAUACCAUCCAGAACCCCGAUUGCGAAGGCAGCUGACUAGGCUGGUACUGACGCUGAGGCACGAAAGCGUGGGGAGCGAACAGG